rnacentral:tRNA from 1 species
GUGAUUGUAGCUCAGACGGCAGAGCCCUGGAUUGUGGUUCCAGUUGUCGUGGGUUCGAAUCCCACCAAUCACC